CGCUUGCCAGCCCGCUCAGAACUUAAAGGAAUUGACGGGGGCCCGCACAAGCGGUGGAGCAUGUGGUUUAAUUCGAUGAUACGCGAGGAACCUUACCUGGGCUCAAAUGUAUGUUGACGUAUUCUGAAAGGGAUACUUCUUCGGACAAUAUACAAGGUGCUGCAUGGUUGUCGUCAGCUCGUGCCGUGAGGUGUCGGGUUAAGUCCCAUAACGAGCGCAACCCCUAUCAUUAGUUGCCAUCAGGUCAAGCUGGGGACUCUAAUGAAACUGCCUACGCAAGUAGUGAGGAAGGUGGGGAUGACGUCAAAUCAGCACGGCCCUUACGUCCAGGGCUACACACGUGCUACAAUGGCCGGUACAACGGGCAGCGAAGGAGCGAUCCGGAGCGAAUCCUAAAAAGCCGGUCCCAGUUCGGAUUGCAGGCUGAAACUCGCCUACAUGAAGUUGGAGUUGCUAGUAAUCGCGAAUCAGAAUGUCGCGGUGAAUGCGUUCCCGGGUCUU
rnacentral:rRNA from 1 species